rnacentral:rRNA from 1 species
GACAGAGGGUGCAAACGUUGCUCGGAAUUACUGGGCGUAAAGGGCGUGUAGGCGGGAAGGCAAGUCGGGCGUGAAAUCCCCAGGCUCAACCUGGGAACUGCACUCGAAACUGCCUUUCUUGAGUGUCGGAGAGGAAAGCGGAAUUCCUGGUGUAGAGGUGAAAUUCGUAGAUAUCAGGAGGAACACCAGUGGCGAAGGCGGCUUUCUGGACGAUAACUGACGCUGAGACGCGAAAGCGUGGGGGAGCAAACAGG